rnacentral:rRNA from 1 species
CUAUAAUGGAGAGUUUGAUCCUGGCUCAGGACGAACGCUGGCGGCGUGCCUAAUACAUGCAAGUCGA